AUUGAACGCUGGCGGCAGGCCUAACACAUGCAAGUCGAACGAGUGGCGGACGGGUGAGUAAUGUCUGGGAAACUGCCUGAUGGAGGGGGAUAACUACUGGAAACGGUAGCUAAUACCGCAUACCCUCGGAUGUGCCCAGAUGGGAUUGGCUAGUAGGUGGGGUAAAGGCUCACCUGGGCGACGAUCCCUAGCUGGUCUGAGAGUAUGACCAGCCACACUGGAACUGAGACACGGUCAGAACUCCUAGGGGAGGCUGCAGUGGGGAAUAUUGGACAAUGGGCGCAAGCCUGAUGAAGCCAUGCCGCGUGUAUGAAGAAGGCCUUCGGGUUUUAAAGUACUUUCAGCGGGGAGGCGUUACCCGCAGAAGAAGCACCGGCUAACUCCGUGCCAGCAGCCGCGGUAAUUC
rnacentral:rRNA from 1 species